rnacentral:rRNA from 1 species
UACGAGAGGCCCAAACGUUAUUCGGAUUUACUGGGCUUAAAGAGUUCGUAGGCGGCGCAGAAAGUAGGGUGUGAAAGCCCUCGGCUCAACCGAGGAAUUGCGCCCUAAACUACUGUGCUUGAGGGACCUAGAGGUGAGCAGAACUGAUGGUGGAGCGGUGAAAUGCGUUGAUAUCAUCAGGAAUACCGGAGGCGAAGGCGGCUCACUGGGGGUCUUCUGACGCUGAGGUGCGAAAGCGUGGGGAGCAAACAGG